rnacentral:rRNA from 1 species
AUGAUUGAGUACUUUGGCACUGAUUCAAAAUUUCAGGAUCGCAGCCAAAAGAACACCGAUAACCGUAAGAAACAGAAGACAAAACACAUAAUUGGAUCAAAAUCUUACUCGCAAGUUAGUUUUGAAAAGAGAAACUUGGAAACUGGAGAAGAGCCAGAUUGUAUUGCUCUGUGGGAACUCACCCACACGAACGAUGGAACAUGGUCUAACAUAGAUUCCUAG